UACGUAGGGUGCAAGCGUUAAUCGGAAUUACUGGGCGUAAAGCGUGCGCAGGCGGUCUUGCAAGACCGGUGUGAAAUCCCCGGGCUCAACCUGGGAACUGCAUUUGUGACUGCCUCGCUGGAGUGCGGCAGAGGGGGAUGGAAUUCCGCGUGUAGCAGUGAAAUGCGUAGAUAUGCGGAGGAACACCGAUGGCGAAGGCAAUCCCCUAGGCCUGCACUGACGCUCAUGCACGAAAGCGUGGGGAGCAAACAGG
rnacentral:rRNA from 1 species